rnacentral:lncRNA from 1 species
AUCCAGUUCUUGACUUACGUCUGGCCCCCAGAUUUAGUAUCUUCUUUCUAAUUUCUUUAAUUCAUUUACCUUUUCUUAUUCUAUCCUUUUGUUACCUCUCUACUUGUGUCAGUAAUUGGAUUUUCAGUCACAACUUUUAUUCCUACUUCUAGUUUAUUUCUUAGUUCUAUAAUCACAUUUUUUGAUCCUUGAUUUUUCACUCUUUAGCCUCUCUGGUUCCAUCUCAUUCUGUAUAUUUUUGUCUUGCCUUUGGACUAUUAUUUUCCUGAAUUUAUGUUCUUAUUAAAUUCUAUAAAAUAAAGCUGCCAUGAGAAAUUCUUUGUUCUUUCAGUUUUCUUUUUUCUCCAAAUUGGCUGUCAUUUUUUGAGGUUGAUAACACUAACUGUCCCUUUUUCUUGUUUGUUUGCUGGUGAAAAAAAGGGGGUUUAGACUUUUUAUUUUGGGGUUGUUGCCUUCAUUUUUGUUCAUUAUUUUAGGUGUUAGAUGAUAAGGACGAUUCUGUGAUGUAGUGUUCUCUACCAUGUUUACCAAGAAAACUCCUAACAAAUAUUAUCCCUGUUUGACCAAGGAGGAAAGUGAAUUUCAAAGAAGUUAAAUAACUCUCUUAGGAUUGCACAUACUUAGAAGGUGAUGGAUGGAUGGAUAGAGAGAGAGACUGGUAGAGUCAAGAUUUUAACUUCUGUGUUUUAGUCAGAUUAGUCUUGUGUUUCAACACUUCCUACCUAAGUAACACCUGUAAUUAUGCUUCAAAUAUCAUUGAAAAUAUUAUUUCUGACCCUGCUUGUGGUGACCAUGCCACAACUGUCAACAUGGCUAAUACGUUCUGAUACGUACAGGCCAACUCUUAUUGAGAGGCCAAUCUCCCUUGCCACUCGUAGGUGUGAAGAUGACAUGUACAGAUAACAAAUUCACACUCCUAGAUUAGCUCACACGCACUCAGUCUGUGAAGGGAUGGCUGAGCAGUGAGAUAGCAUGCACUUCAGGAACCCAUGAUGCAGACAAGUCCCAAGAACAUCCGUUUCCAUGAUACCCAACAAGGAAGAUUUCCAGGGCUGCUGCAAUGCUUCAAAGGCCUCUUCCAUGUUAACACGACCCUGUUUGGUGAGGGACUACAGCCUCCUUACUUUGCAGGGAUGCAUUCCAGGAAUGGAAGGAGCAUCAAUAGCAGGUAUCCAUGGAAACCUACAGACUUCAAGAAAAUACCAUUAAUUCCCAACACAUGGACAACUACUGGAAGGGAGUGUGUGUUCCUGUCUCCAGGUACGUAGCCAGGAGUAGCUCACCCCCGCCGUUAGAACCAGAAGGAUGAAGACUCUCCCUGACUCUAGGCUGAAGACUGAAAGAGAAGAACCCAGGACUAACAUCCAUUCUCUUCAGAAGAAAAUACUCUCAUUACUCAGGAAAGUAUGGUCUUGCCUGAGGGCUCCAACAAGACAAUAACAACACUGCAAUGUCUCCACCUUUUGGGCCUUCUCCUUGGCCACGUUUACCUAACAGAGUCGCAGGAUUUCAGUCUUUAGAGAUAAUCUAAUUGGAUUUUUUUUUUAAAGAUGAGGAAUUAAAAGACUACAAAUGUUUUUCCUCUUACAACUAUAUUGAGUAUAAUUGAUAUAAAAUUAACUGUACAUUAAGUGUACAUAUUUAAAAUGUACAGUUUGGUAAGUUAGACAUUUGUAUACAUCCAGGAAACUGUCACCAAAAUCAAGAAAAUGAACAUAUCUGUCACCUCCAAAAUUGCCCUUUGUAAUUUCUCUCCCAUCCCUCCUUGCAUGAGCUCUCACCAUUGAUGCGCUUUAUGUCACUACAACGUUAGUUUGCAUUUUCUAGAGUUUUAUAUAAAUGGAAUUGUACUAUAUGUACUCUUUUUCGUCUGGCUUCUUUCACAUUGCAUAAUUAUUUUGAGAUUCAUCCAUAGUGUAUGAGUAUAAGUAACUCAUUCCUUUUCAUUGCUGAAUAGUAUUCCCUUAUAUGGAUAUACCAAAAUUUGUUUAUCCAUUUACCUGUUGAUUGAAAAUGAGUUGUUUUCAAAUAAAGUUAAUAUGAAUAUUCA